GACGAACCGUGCGAACGUUGUUCGGAAUCACUGGGCUUAAAGGGCGCGUAGGCGGGUCGGCAAGUCCGGGGUGAAAGCCCCCAGCUCAACUGGGGAAGUGCCUUGGAAACUGCCGGUCUCGAGGGAGGUAGGGGCAUGUGGAACUUCGGGUGGAGCGGUGAAAUGCGUAGAUAUCGGGAGGAACACCUGAGGCGAAGGCGGGUUACUGGGCUGAUACUGACGCUGAGGAGCGAAAGCGUGGGGAGCGAACAGG
rnacentral:rRNA from 1 species